rfam:Paenibacillus sp. DMB20 mira_9, whole genome shotgun sequence.
GAGGCGGUAUCCCUUAAGCGGAACUGCACUCUUGCGAACAGGAUCAAUGCUUUAAGGGACACCUUCAUAACUGCUAUUGCCGGUUACGUUGGAUUCUGCUCUGAGCCGAAAGGACCGAGACAGAAGG